UCCCUCGUGGCGCAAUUGGCUAGCGCGUAAGUUAUCACUAACACUUUGAAAUAAUCAACAUCUAAUAAUCAUCCAGGUUCGACUGUUAAGUUAAAUCAGCAGAUCAAUCGAGAGGUUGGUGGUUCGAGCCCACCCGAGGGAG